UUUCGAGUUCUUUGUCACUUAGUAUAAAUUCAGCAUGCAAUCGAGGCGCGAAAGCCCAGGCGUCGGCCCCUGCGAUCACGAUUGGCGCCAGUCCAGUAGCAGCCUCUCCCCUAUCUCCGAGCGAUGCGAAGCAGGCUGAGCCUUCAAAUCUUUCUAUAGGAAUGCGUCCAGUUCUUCGUAAAAUCCAGUCAGCGAUACGCUUGUUUUUCAUCCACUCGUUCUCUCUCAAAUCGAACUCAACGCCCAUGAUUUCUCGACCUUUUCGCUCUCUCCGGUUCCCUAUAUUCAAGCUUACAGACCUAUGCAGAAUCCGGAGGUCAUUUCGUAAGCGGGAAGCCGCCGAGGUUGAUGGAUUCUCAUGGGUCCUCUUGGGUUCAGCUUCGACCAAUUGAUGGUAUAUAAAAUUAUGAAAGUCGUAAAGCACAUAAUCUAGCUGAAAAUUCACGGGAUUCACUUCUUUUCUUCUGGGAUGGUUUCAAUAGGCAUGUGAAACAACUUUCUGAAAGCCCACCAUUAGCAGAUAUUGUCUUCUUUGGGCUUUCCUUUUCGAGCUUCCCCUCAAAAAGUUUGAUUCCAUAACCAAAAUACUGGGGAGGAUAGAGGCUUAAACCAGAGCUUUUUGAGUUUAGGCAGGGGCAGCCAUCCGGGUUGCACGACAGGUUGCAAUAUUCCUGUUGCGAGACGGACGGAAAAAAAAAGUAUGGAAAGUAAGAACGAUUAGCUCCCUGAUUGACUCCUCCAUCAUUCACGUACCUUCUUUUCUCUUUAGCCCCUUUUGUGUUUGACGUCAAAGUUGCUGUCGAAUAUUUGACUGUUGCAUAAUUUACUGAACUAGUUUUACAGCUUCCAUAAAACUAUAUGACAUGUUAAUGGAAUUUCUGCCUAUUUUAAAACAAUAUAAUAAAUAUGGACUU